AACGAUAUAAUAAGAAAGUUCACAAAAACUGGACUGGAUUGUAUCGCUAAAUGUCCACAACCAUGUUUAGAGAACUCCUUCAGUCGCUCAGUUUCAAGUGCACGCUGGUCAAGGGAAUUUGAGGAGAUGAUCACGAGACUAUAUUUCAAGAAUCGCCCCACGGUUAAAGGCGUCACGUUAAGUGACAAUUUUCUAAGACUGCAAAUAUUUUACGAAGAUCUGAGCGUUUUUAAAACCAUCAACGAAGAGGCAUACAAGGUAAACUAAUUAAAGAUAUAUAUAAAUACAGAAUAAGAAAAGUGGUCGGG